rnacentral:lncRNA from 1 species
AGAAACUUCUCUCUAAAAGGUUCCAGAGGCUUCUCUUCUAGAAGGUUCCAGAGGCUUGUUUUCUAGAAGAUUCUAGAAACUUCUCUCUAGAAAGUUCUAAGGAAUAUGUCCCUAACAUCAAAUCCUGAUCGAAUUCUAAUCAAACUCUAAAUAAAUCCUAAUCAAAUCUUAAUCAAAUCGUAAAUAAAUCCUAGUUAAAUCUUAAAUAAACUCUAAUCAAAUCCUAAAAAAAUCUUAAAUGAACACUAAUAAAAUCCUAAAAAAAUCCUAGCCAAGCUUAAAUCGAACCAAAAUCCCAACCUUAAUUCUAUUCCAAAUCCUAA